CAAAGCGUAGUUUAAUUUAACUAGAGCAUCGGCUUUGGGUGCCGAAGGUGGGAGUGUAAUUCUCGUCGCUUUGA
rnacentral:tRNA from 1 species